rnacentral:tRNA from 1 species
UGGGUUGUAGCUCAGUGGUAGAGCACUUGCAUGUGUGAGGCCCUGGGUUCAGUUCCCUGCACUGCAA